rnacentral:rRNA from 1 species
CCGACGAUGUUCUCGGACGGACCUCUCUCGCGCGCGCCGCGAUCUCGGCGAGACGGGAUUCUCGUAAUUUCGUCUCUCGGGGUCCGGUCGCGACGAGGACCGAUCGGCGACGCUAUAGCUUUGGGUACUUUCAGGACCCGUCUUGAAACACGGACCAAGGAGUCUAGCAUGUACGCGAGUCAUUGGGAUUUUCGCUAAACCUAAAGGCGCAAUGAAAGUGAAGGUCUUUCCUUCGUGGAAGACCGUGGGAAGACGGACGGGACGAGAGCGCGCGCGCGCGCGUCUAGUGCGUGCGCGCGUGCGCGUGUGCAGAUUCGAAGUACCGCUCGAUCGCCCGUCCUGCAUUCCCGGGGCGUCUCGUUCACAUCGCGUGAAGAGGCGCACCGCGAGCGUACACGCUGGGACCCGAAAGAUGGUGAACUAUGCCUGGUCAGGACGAAGUCAGGGGAAACCCUGAUGGAGGUCCGUAGCGAUUCU